rnacentral:rRNA from 1 species
AUUGAACGCUGGCGGCAGGCCUAACGCAUGCAAGUCGAACGGUAACAGGAAGAAGCUUGCUUCUUUGCUGACGAGUGGCGGACGGGUGAGUAAUGUCUGGGAAACUGCCUGAUGGAGGGGGAUAACUACUGGAAACGGUAGCUAAUACCGCAUAACGUCGCAAGACCAAAGAGGGGGACCUUCGGGCCUCUUGCCAUCGGAUGUGCCCAGAUGGGAUUAGCUAGUAGGUGGGGUAACGGCUCACCUAGGCGACGAUCCCUAGCUGGUCUGAGAGGAUGACCAGCCACACUGGAACUGAGACACGGUCCAGACUCCUACGGGAGGCAGCAGUGGGGAAUAUUGCACAAUGGGCGCAAGCCUGAUGCAGCCAUGCCGCGUGUAUGAAGAAGGCCUUCGGGUUGUAAAGUACUUUCAGCGGGGAGGAAGGGAGUAAAGUUAAUACCUUUACUCAUUGACGUUACCCGCAGAAGAAGCACCGGCUAACUCCGUG